UAGCAUAGGAGACUGUAUGGAUCACGUG
rnacentral:piRNA from 1 species